rnacentral:rRNA from 1 species
UACAGAGGUCUCAAGCGUUGUUCGGAUUCAUUGGGCGUAAAGAGCGUGUAGGCGGCCCGGUAAGUCCGCUGUGAAAGUCGGGGGCUCAACCCUCGAAUGCCGGUGGAUACUGUCGGGCUAGAGUGCGGAAGAGGCGAGUGGAAUUCCUGGUGUAGCGGUGAAAUGCGCAGAUAUCAGGAGGAACACCAAUAGCGAAGGCAGCUCGCUGGGACGGUACUGACGCUAAGGCGCGAAAGCGUGGGGAGCGAACAGG